UACGUAGGGGGCAAGCGUUGUCCGGAUUUAUUGGGCGUAAAGAGCGUGUAGGCGGUUUGGUAGGUCCGUUGUGAAAACUCGAGGCUCAACCUCGAGACGCCGAUGGAAACCAUCAGACUAGAGUCCGGAAGAGGAGAGUGGAAUUCCUGGUGUAGCGGUGAAAUGCGCAGAUAUCAGGAAGAACACCCGUGGCUAAGGCGGCUCUCUGGGCCGGUACCGACGCUGAGGAGCGAAAGCGUGGGGAGCGAACAGG
rnacentral:rRNA from 1 species